rnacentral:rRNA from 1 species
GACAGAGGGUGCGAACGUUGCUCGGAAUUACUGGGCGUAAAGCGCGUGCAGGCGGCCCUGCACGUCCGGUGUGAAAGCCCGGGGCUCAACCCCCGGAAGCGCGCUGGAAACGACGGGGCUGGAGGGCUGGAGAGGCGGGCGGAAUUCCCGGUGUAGAGGUGAAAUUCGUAGAUAUCGGGAGGAACACCGGUGGCGAAGGCGGCCCGCUGGACAGCGCCUGACGCUGAGACGCGAAAGCGUGGGUAGCAAACAGG